CUGCGCAUGCGCAAAUAGCACACUUAAACAUUCACCCACUAAAUCAUAAUAAGCACAAUUCAUUUCAACGCAAAGGAGUAGGCCUCUAUUCUACACGUAUGAAGGCAACAGCAGUGAGUUUCCUGUUGUGUACCCCUUUCACCACCUGGGGGCAUCAUCACUCACCAUCACUACCAUCACGCAUCAGCGGCAGCACUUACCCACAGAGCUGCUGAAAAUCUUCUCUGUUCAGAGAAGACGUGGGGCAAGAAACGGCCACCAGAGGGAGCACACAUGCUAUGAAAAUUGAAGAUGCCUGCUUUUGUUUGAGGAUUUACACCAUCCUGUUGCCAUGAAGGUAAGAAAACUAACAGUUGUGGGAUUUGGAUUUGUGCC
rnacentral:lncRNA from 1 species